GAUGAACGCUGGCGGCGUGCCUAAUACAUGCAAGUCGAGCGAACGGACGAGAAGCUUGCUUCUCUGAUGUUAGCGGCGGACGGGUGAGUAACACGUGGAUAACCUACCUAUAAGACUGGGAUAACUUCGGGAAACCGGAGCUAAUACCGGAUAAUAUUUUGAACCGCAUGGUUCAAAAGUGAAAGACGGUCUUGCUGUCACUUAUAGAUGGAUCCGCGCUGCAUUAGCUAGUUGGUAAGGUAACGGCUUACCAAGGCAACGAUGCAUAGCCGACCUGAGAGGGUGAUCGGCCACACUGGAACUGAGACACGGUCCAGACUCCUACGGGAGGCAGCAGUAGGGAAUCUUCCGCAAUGGGCGAAAGCCUGACGGAGCAACGCCGCGUGAGUGAUGAAGGUCUUCGGAUCGUAAAACUCUGUUAUUAGGGAAGAACAUAUGUGUAAGUAACUGUGCACAUCUUGACGGUACCUAAUCAGAAAGCCACGGCUAACUACGCGCCAGCAGCCGCGGUAAUACGUAGGUGGCAAGCGUUAUCCGGAAUUAUUGGGCGUAAAGCGCGCGUAGGCGGUUUUUUAAGUCUGAUGUGAAAGCCCACGGCUCAACCGUGGAGGGUCAUUGGAAACUGGAAAACUUGAGUGCAGAAGAGGAAAGUGGAAUUCCAUGUGUAGCGGUGAAAUGCGCAGAGAUAUGGAGGAACACCAGUGGCGAAGGCGACUUUCUGGUCUGUAACUGACGCUGAUGUGCGAAAGCGUGGGGAUCAAACAGGAUUAGAUACCCUGGUAGUCCACGCCGUAAACGAUGAGUGCUAAGUGUUAGGGGGUUUCCGCCCCUUAGUGCUGCAGCUAACGCAUUAAGCACUCCGCCUGGGGAGUACGACCGCAAGGUUGAAACUCAAAGGAAUUGACGGGGACCCGCACAAGCGGUGGAGCAUGUGGUUUAAUUCGAAGCAACGCGAAGAACCUUACCAAAUCUUGACAUCCUUUGACAACUCUAGAGAUAGAGCCUUCCCCUUCGGGGGACAAAGUGACAGGUGGUGCAUGGUUGUCGUCAGCUCGUGUCGUGAGGUGUUGGGUUAAGUCCCGCAACGAGCGCAACCCUUAAGCUUAGUUGCCAUCAUUAAGUUGGGCACUCUAAGUUGACUGCCGGUGACAAACCGGAGGAAGGUGGGGAUGACGUCAAAUCAUCAUGCCCCUUAUGAUUUGGGCUACACACGUGCUACAAUGGACAAUACAAAGGGCAGCGAAACCGCGAGGUCAAGCAAAUCCCAUAAAGUUGUUCUCAGUUCGGAUUGUAGUCUGCAACUCGACUACAUGAAGCUGGAAUCGCUAGUAAUCGUAGAUCAGCAUGCUACGGUGAAUACGUUCCCGGGUCU
rnacentral:rRNA from 1 species